UACGAAGGGGGCUAGCGUUGCUCGGAAUCACUGGGCGUAAAGCGCACGUAGGCGGAUCUUUAAGUCAGAGGUGAAAUCCCAAGGCUCAACCUUGGAACUGCCUUUGAUACUGGCGAACUUGAGUGCGUGAGGGGUAGGGGGAACGAGCAGUGUAGCGGUGAAAUGCGUAGAUAUUGCUCGGAAGGCCAGAGCCGAAGGGGCCCUACUGGUGCGCAACUGACACUGAGGCACGAAAGCGUGGGGAGCAAACAGG
rnacentral:rRNA from 1 species